AGCAGCCGCGGUAAUUCCAGCUCCAAUAGCGUAUAUUAAAGUUGUUGCAGUUAAAAAGCUCGUAGUUGAAUUUCGGGGUUAGUAGGUUGGUCGUGCCACUGGUAUGUACUGGUUCUACUGAUCCCUCCUUCUUGUAGAACCGUAAUGCCAUUCACUUGGUGUUGCGGGGAAACAGGACUGUUACUUUGAAAAAAUUAGAGUGUUUAAAGCAGGCUAACGCUUGAAUACAUUAGCAUGGAAUAAUGAAAUAGGACGUUCGAUCCUAUUUUGUUGGUUUCUAGGAUUGACGUAAUGAUUAAUAGGGAUAGUGGGGGGCAUUAGUAUUCAAUUGUCAGAGGUGAAAUUCUUGGAUUUAUUGAAGACUGACUACUGCGAAAGCAUUUGCCAAGGAUGUUUUCAUUAAUCAAGAACGAAAGUUAGGGGAUCGAAGACGAUCAGAUACCGUCGUAGUCUUAACCAUAAACUAUGCCGACUAGGGAUCGGAUGAUGUUAAUUUUUUAAUGACUCAUUCGGCGCCUUA
rnacentral:rRNA from 1 species